rnacentral:rRNA from 1 species
CGACCGGCGCACGGGUGCGUAACGCGUAUCAAACCUGCCUCAUACUCGGGGAUAGCCUUGCGAAAGUAAGAUUAAUACCCGAUGUUGUUGCUUUCUCGCAUGGGAGAGUAACCAAAGAUUUAUCGGUAUGAGAUGGUGAUGCGUCCGAUUAGGUAGUAGGCGGGGUAACGGCCCACCUAGCCUUCGAUCGGUAGGGGUUCUGAGAGGAAGGUCCCCCACACUGGAACUGAGACACGGUCCAG